GGAGACGUGGCCGAGUGGUCGAAGGCGCUCCCCUGCUAAGGGAGUAGGCCCGAAAGGGUCUCGUGGGUUCGAAUCCCAUCGUCUCCGCCA
rnacentral:tRNA from 10 species